CCCCCCUUAGUGGGAGAGUUGCCACCGGAUCCCAUAAGAACUCCGGAGUUAAGCGUGCUCUCGAGUGGGAGCAGUCCCCGAAUGGGUGACCUUCCUAGGAAGUCCCCGGGUUUGUGUGCAUACGUUGCAAGACACUUGCUGUGCAUGUG